UACGGAGGGUGCAAGCGUUAUCCGGAUUCACUGGGUUUAAAGGGUGCGUAGGCGGUCGCGUAAGUCAGGUGUGAAAUCUCAGGGCUCAACCCUGAAACUGCACUUGAUACUGCGUGGCUCGGGUACUGGAGAGGAGACUGGAAUUUACGGUGUAGCAGUGAAAUGCGUAGAUAUCGUAAGGAAGACCAGUGGCGAAGGCGAGUCUCUGGACAGUUACCGACGCUGAGGCACGAAGGUCAGGGGAGCAAACGGG
rnacentral:rRNA from 1 species